CUUGGUCAUUUAGAGGAAGUAAAAGUCGUAACAAGGUCUCCGUAGGUGAACCUGCGGAGGGAUCAUUACACAAAUAUGAAGGCGGGCUGGAACCUCUCGGGGUUACAGCCUUGCUGAAUUAUUCACCCUUGUCUUUUGCGUACUUCUUGUUUCCUUGGUGGGUUCGCCCACCACUAGGACAAACAUAAACCUUUUGUAAUUGCAAUCAGCGUCAGUAACAAAUUAAUAAUUACAACUUUCAACAACGGAUCUCUUGGUUCUGGCAUCGAUGAAGAACGCAGCGAAAUGCGAUAAGUAGUGUGAAUUGCAGAAUUCAGUGAAUCAUCGAAUCUUUGAACGCACAUUGCGCCCUUUGGUAUUCCAAAGGGCAUGCCUGUUCGAGCGUCAUUUGUACCCUCAAGCUUUGCUUGGUGUUGGGCGUCUUGUCUCUAGCUUUGCUGGAGACUCGCCUUAAAGUAAUUGGCAGCCGGCGUAUAGAUUUCGGAGCGCAGCACAAAACGCGCUUUGAUAACCAGUACGACGGCGUCCAGUAAGCCUUUUUUCAACUCUUGACCUCGGAUCAGGUAGGGAUACCCGCUGAACUUAAGCAUAUCAAUAAGCGGAGGA
rnacentral:rRNA from 1 species